GUCUGAUUGAUGGAAACGAUCCUCGCAGGCAGGUGUGUGCUUUUGGUAACAACUAAGUAAAACAAUGCAAUCAAUUUAGCGACAGACAGUUCGCACAAUUCACACUCACUUUACUUCACUCACAUUGCAGUAUAGAGAGGUGAGUUACAAAACCUGACUUUCUUUAAAGUGUCCCGAGAUCCUGGAACCUGUUGGCAACCCUUCCCUCAGAUCAGGUGACUCAUUUAAAACGCCAUUAAAGAAAAUACGGGGUUAUGGCAAAGAUGCCGCUCGUCUUUCUGAAAGCAACUCAAAGCAGAUAUCUGCCAGGUACCAGCCUCUGGAGGACAUGGGCCAGCCCUGCAGGUGCCCACCUGAACUCACUCUGCGUCUGGCCUGUAGGGUUCAUUGUAGAGCGAUGAGGAGAAAGUCCAUGCCAGCUUUGCCUUCGUAUCCUGCAGGAGUGCUGGAAUCCCCAGCGGAGACCGGCGACUUUGCACAGCCAGGACAUGAACCAGCACUCCUCUGUAUGAAUCACCUUGCACACCAAUCGUCAUGCUUUUACAGAUUGCCCUAAGCAGAAACAUGGAGCCGCUAGAUCUGGAGGGCAAACCUCUGAUCUGGCAGCACUGCUGAGAAGAACCGAAGUUGUGCUGCUCAUAUUUACAGUCUUUGUUGGCAUUAACCGGCUGCGCUCCAUCCAGACUUUUUGAUGCCAAUCAUAGCCAGUCCUGGCUGACGGCUGGCUGCUACCGAGCAUGUGCACGGCGGAUUUGGACGCGCUCAUUUCUGAGCGAGCACAGCCUGGCUUCAGCCCAUUAAACAGAUGGGAUGAACGGCAUUGUUGAUGUGCCAGUGUCACACGAGAGGGGGGAACUGAAUUGCACAUCACCCAGAAGGGAAGCGCAAUUCAUUAAUAAGAGACUGUGGGUUCAGCGAGCAAGUGAACGCUGUUAACAAGCCACCCCUGAAUAUGGUCUUGGGAGACUGGCUAAGUUGUAUAAUCUCUUCACACAGACAAGCAACACAUUUAUCUGACAGCACUUGUUUGUUUGCUGAAGCUCGAUCUGCAAUGAAGAUUAAUAGCUUGCUGAUUGUGACCAUUCCCUAAAUUCGUACAUCAAACGCUGCCGUUAGGCUGCCUGAAGCAUGAAUCCAGGAGUCGCGCAAUCAAUCCCUGUUGAAAAGUUGACGUGUGAAAUUGAAAUGGAGAGCAAAGCAUUGCCGGAAACAUUAUGAAACGGAGGGGUUCACCGAGUCCUUAGAACAGGACAGCAUUGAUCUCGUCCCACUCCAGUAGGCGCAGAGGCAGAAUGGAAAGUUUAAUCUCAGCGAGCUUCACAGCCACAAGCCUUUCUGCAGAAUAACUUUUUAACUAGUUUUAGUACAGUUUUCCACAAGGGCUUUUUACAUCAUCAAUGUGAGGUUAAAGGUUAGAGGAGGGGUGUCCAAAGCUGGCUCUUCCACUCCUGGUCUUUGUUCCAACCAGUGGUGCUGGAACAAUUUGUAUAGGUGGAGGUGCUGAAAGUCAUUGAAAAAAAACUGGAACCCCUGUAUAUGAUGAAGCAAACAAAUCGCAAAGUAGCGUAUACUGUUAGGAUCCACUUAAACACUGCAGUUUAGAAAUGUUUACUGGGAAGAACAGGCUGAACAGUUGUUUUGUAUUUACAGUCGCCGUUGACAAGGACAGUCAGAAGGGUCUAAAGAUUGACUUGCGCUCCCGUGUCAUGUUGAUUAUUAUUAUUUUCAUGAGGGAAUGGACCUCUAGCGCGUCCUGAAUGUCAGUAUGUCGUGUUGUGUCACGUCAUGUGUUUGAAGCAUUGCUCCACAAAGCAGCACCCCAGUUACACUUUACCAAGAAAAAUCUGAUGUUCUUUUUUGGGACAUUUUCAGUAACCGUUCUGCUGUAUACAAGCUUCUAGGGCAUUCCCACUACUAACCGACUCUCGUGAGAUUGCAACCGUGCGAUUUAUAAAAUAUCCCGCCCCUGUUGUGACAGCCAGUGCUGAUUGGUCUAUUCUAAAAGGAUGCAGUGCACUGCACACACACAGCUCCUAAUAACAUUCAUGAAACUAGCAGGAUUCAUCAUUGCACUGCACACACACAGCUCCUAAUAACAUUCAUCUGACUAGCAGGAUUCAUCAUUGCACUGCACACACACAGCUCCUAAUAACAUUCAUCAAACUAACAGGAUUCAUCAUUGCACUGCACACACACAGCUCCUAACAACAUUCAUCAGACUAGCAGGAUUCAUCAUUGCACUGCACACACACAGUUCCUAAUAACAUUCAUCAGACUAGCAGGAUUGAUCAUUGCACCAGCAGGUGCACAGCACACCUGUCCUGGUUCCAACCCUGGUCUAGCUUGUUUAAUUGAACCAAUGAAACCUCCAUCCCAGACCCUGAAGUUGUUCAUUAUCUCAUUUUACCUGUUAAACCUGCAGUGGAUUGAACCUCCAUGACCGAGAUUGGAAAACCCCUGGGUUAGACAGCAAGGCUAAAUGCGUCGUUUACAAGAUUCUGUUUUUUUUUUUUUUAAAUGUAUUUAAAUAUUGAACCACAUAGUGCAGAUUAAUAUGAACGAAUUGAGAUUCAAUACUAUACUAAAAAGUAAGUAGCGAGGUUAAAAAAAAUCUAGCGUGGUUAAAAAAGAUCGAGGGUUACACAUCCUCACGAGUUGCUACAAUUUAUUUCAUUGUUAACAUCCUUACAACUUUAUACACUUAACUUUAAAGUUUGUUUCAAAGAUCUUUUCAAAGUGGUCACUCUAGUCCACUGGGGUUUGAUCGAGUUUCAAAUUUUAUGUGUAAAAAGUUGUCAGGAUGUUAACAAUGAAAAGAGAAAUGACAGGUACGUUAUUUAAACAGUUGUAGCAACACGUGGGGACCUAUAAACCCCCUACUGACUUUCAAGUGCAGCCUUUGUUUCCCCCAAAUAAUUAAAAACAAAAACCUACUGUCUCCCUGCUAGUUGAGUUUAAUGAGGAGAGAUUCAUAUUACAUUUUCUAAUAACCUUAUUUUUCACAGACAAAUAAAAUGUUUAUGGUAUCCUGAAUAAAAAAAUUGUUUAUGGUAUGUGAAAUAACGUCCCUAUAAAACCAGCAGGUAGUAAGUCAUUGAUUAUAUACAAAUAAUACAAAUACACAAGCCCAUUUGUAAUAGAAAUAUUUAAUAAAUACACUUUGUUUAGGAUUACAUAUACCUUUUAUAUUACAUUCAUUAGAACUUUUCC